UGUUUGGUGAAGUGCACAGGGAGAGAAGUCUAAAACAAACAGCUCCUUUAUUUAUCAAGGCUUUGAAGCUAAACUAGACAUUUCUCCUUCUGCAACUGCAAAACAAGAGGAAAAGAAGAGAUGGGUGUUGCUAACCAAGAAGCGAUCAAGCAAUUUCAAUCUUUAAUGGACCAAAUAGAUGAGCCACUCAAGAAUACAUUUCAGAAUAUGCACCAGGGUUAUCCAAAUGAAACGUUGGUGCGAUUUCUUAAAGCAAGAGAGUGGAAUGUUGCUAAGGCCCAUAAAAUGUUGGUUGAUUGUUUACAAUGGAGAAUACAAAACGAGGUUGAUAACAUAUUGGCAAAACC
rnacentral:misc_RNA from 1 species